GAUGAACGCUGGCGGCGUGCCUAAUACAUGCAAGUCGAGCGAAUGGAUUAGGAGCUUGCUCUUAUGAAGUUAGCGGCGGACGGGUGAGUAACACGUGGGUAACCUGCCCAUAAGACUGGGAUAACUCCAGGAAACCGGGGCUAAUACCGGAUAACAUUUUGAACCGCAUGGUUCGAAAUUGAAAGGCGGCUUCGGCUGUCACUUAUGGAUGGACCCGCGUCGCAUUAGCUAGUUGGUGAGGUAACGGCUCACCAAGGCAACGAUGCGUCGCCGACCUGAGAGGGUGAUCGGCCACACUGGGACUGAGACACGGCCCAGACUCCUACGGGAGGCAGCAGUAGGGAAUCUUCCGCAAUGGACGAAAGUCUGACAGAGCAACGCCGCGUGAGUGAUGAAGGCUUUCGGGUCGUAAAACUCUGUUGUUAGGGAAGAACAAGUGCUAGUUGAAUAAGCUGGCACCUUGACGGUACCUAACCAGAAAGCCACGGCUAACUACGUGCCAGCAGCCGCAGUAA
rnacentral:rRNA from 1 species